rnacentral:tRNA from 1 species
GCCCCUAUAGCUCAGUGGUAGAGCACCCGCUUAGUAAGCGGAAGGUCGGUAGUUCA